rnacentral:rRNA from 1 species
GAUGAACGCUAGCGAUAGGCUUAACACAUGCAAGUCGAGGGGCAGCAUGGUCUUAGCUUGCUAAGACUGAUGGCGACCGGCGCACGGGUGCGUAACGCGUAUGCAACUUGCCUCACAGAGGGGGAUAACCCGUCGAAAGACGGACUAAUACCGCGUACACUUGGGAUAGGGCAUCCUGACCCAAGGAAAUGAAAUUCGCUGUGAGAUAGGCAUGCGUCCCAUUAGCUAGUUGGUGAGGUAACGGCUCACCAAGGCGACGAUGGGUAGGGGAACUGAGAGGUUGAACCCCCACACUGGUACUGAGACACGGACCAGACUCCUACGGGAGGCAGCAGUGAGGAAUAUUGGUCAAUGGGCGAGAGCCUGAACCAGCCAAGUCGCGUGAAGGAUGACUGUCUUAUGGAUUGUAAACUUCUUUUAAACGGGAAUAACAAGAGUCACGUGUGGCUCCCUGCAUGUACCGUAUGAAUAAGCAUCGGCUAACUCCGUG